CCGUAGCUCAGUGGUAGAGCGGUCGGCUCAUAACCGAUUGGUCGUAGGUUCGAUCCCUGCCGGGCC
rnacentral:tRNA from 1 species